rnacentral:rRNA from 1 species
UGGGGAAUAUUGGACAAUGGGCGCAAGCCUGAUCCAGCCAUGCCGCGUGGGUGAUGAAGGCCCUAGGGUUGUAAACCCCUUUCGGGGGGGAAAAUAUUGAGGGUACCCGCGAAAGAACCCCCGGCUAAUUAAGUGCCAGCAGCCGCGGUAAUCCGAAGGGGGCUAGCGUUGCACGGAAUUACUGGGCGUAAAGCGCACGUAGGCGGAUUGUUAAGUCGGGGGUGAAAUCCUGGCGCUCAACUCGAGAACUGCCUUCGAUACUGGCGAUCUCGAGUUCGGGAGAGGUGAGUGGAACUGCGGGUGUAGAGGUGAAAUUCGUAGAUAUUCGCAAGAACACCAGUGGCGAAGGCGGCUCACUGGCCCGAUACUGACGCUGAGGUGCGAAAGCGUGGGGAGCAAACAGG